rnacentral:rRNA from 1 species
AUACGGAGGAUGCGAGCGUUAUCCGGAUUUAUUGGGUUUAAAGGGAGCGUAGGUGGGAUAUUAAGUCAGCUGUGAAAGUUUGGGGCUCAACCUUAAAAUUGCAGUUGAUACUGGUUUCCUUGAGUACGGUACAGGUGGGCGGAAUUCGUGGUGUAGCGGUGAAAUGCUUAGAUAUCACGAAGAACUCCGAUUGCGAAGGCAGCUCACUAGACUGUUACUGACACUGAUGCUCGAAAGUGUGGGUAUCAAACAGGAUUAGAUACCCUGGUAGUCCACACAGUAAACGAUGAAUACUCGCUGUUUGCGAUAUACAGUAAGCGGCCAAGCGAAAGCAUUAAGUAUUCCACCUGGGGAGUACGCCGGCAACGGUGAAACUUAAAGGAAUUGACGGGG